UCGUGCUAUGCCGGCCCCCUCAACCCAAGCUCAAGCUGUCUCCAGCACCGCUUGUGAGCCGGGCCCACGUUGCUGCCCAGGGACGCGGUGGUGAGGAAGGUGUGAUGUGUGAGUCCGCUGGGGCGGCCCUAACGGGGCACACAGAGGCCACCUGGGAACCGAUGGUGUCCACUGAUGGAUGUUUUCCUGGGCUGAAGUAUUUCAGAUGCCCAGUGUUCUCCCAGCCCUCACAGCGGUCAGUUCUGCUUCACGGGUUUCCCGCAUGAUUUGGCUAAGACGUCAGCAGGCAAAGACGCUUGGGUUGGCUUUAGACAUUACGAAUAAAAGGAAGCUGCGGGAGGCGGUCAAAGUCUGAGACAUGACAGGUCAAAGCUGCAAUCACAAGGGGCUGCGUUGCCUUUUGAUGGGAGAGCCAGGGGCUGCAUUCCCAAGAUUGCAUGAUGCCAGCUCCCAACUGCGAGGGGGCAGAUUUGUUGGAAUUUCUCAAAUCCAGUCUUUGACACAUGCGUUGUUCCUUCAAUUGCUAAUAAAGGGUCUUGGGGAGAAAAAAGUGGAAAACAGCGUCUUCCCGUCCCCUCAGAGGAGCACAGGUGAUGAUGGCGUCCCAGGACGGUGCUAGGCUGUGCACAGGCCGGCCCUCCUUUUGUGAACUUUCUGUUCUUUCUGGCGACAUGCUUGCUGUGUGCAGGGAGCUCACCGUGGAAAGCCCCAGACAUUGCUGCUCCUGUCUCCUGACGUGCAUGUGGCUCAGCUGUAAACAUCUUUACCCUUCAUGCUGACUUAAUACUGAUUGUCGGGCAGAGAGUUCACUUGGAAACACAUCAUCCUGGGUGGAGAUGGUGCCGCCCACCCCAGAGGGGCGUCUUGUUCAGUGGGUUGUGCUCAUGGGGGUGGGGCCUUGUGUCUGCACACUCACUCCCUAUGCUGGGCGUGCCCCCAGGUCUGGGUGCUGCAUUCCCCACACCUGCCUCUGCUGCUGGACCCAGAGCUCUCUGGGGCCGUGGGCACAUCUGUCUUGUCCUGAGCCUCCACUGCCACAUGUAGCUAAUGAUUCAGCUCACCCGUGUGGCUGCCUCCCAGUGC